UUAAUAGUCAUGUGACUUUUUUUUCUGCCAGCCAUGUGCUCCGUAUCAUUUUACUCUGAAAUAACUAUGCGGAUUUCAGCUCAACCCUCCCUUUGCUUAUAAUGCAUGACAUACCCCGUGAGGGAGCCUGAGAACAGACUCCCUUGAAAAGCAAGGUUCUCAUAGUUGGCCUGUAACCAUGGAAGCAGAUGCCGUUUUCUUCUUACCCUGCUUACCUCUUUGCAGCCUCGAGCUGCUCCUUAUUGUUAAAAGGGGUACGCCUUGAUUUUUCUUCAUCAUGACCGAACUUGCCUCUUCUUCAAAGGGCAUCAUGCUGCAGGUCAUUGGUCUAGACUGUUUGCACGGUCCAGAGAACAGCCUUGAUGUAACCCUUGCUCCGUCUGAGCCACACCACCAGCCGUGCAUCUGCAGACUGUAGGGGACAUUGGAGAUCUGUAUUUGAAAAGAAGUCUGUCUGAUUUUGCCAUUGUGCCUUUUCACUCAUCGAUCGAAUGAAUAUCGAACCUUCUGUCGUUGCAUGUGUGAAAUAGAUAGCUUAGCAAGCACUUUUGUGCCCAACCUGUGCAGUGGGCCAAAAGGUUUUCUUUUUAAUCUUCAGAUUUUUUUUUUCUUCAGACUUUAUGAAUUUCGUGUUAGCUUAAAUUAUUUAUAUGCCUUUAUCCAACUGUUAUGAUGACCGUUUCAGUGACUUCCUCAGCAGUGACUUUCUUUCAGGGGUAGAUGGAGCAUUUCUUUUUCUGUUAACUGCUUGGUAGCUUUUUAAGCUCCUUUAACUUAACUUGUUUAUGCUAGAAAUGGCGUAGGUUUUACUGUACUCUAUUAAGCCAAAAAGUUGAGGUUUCUUUUUUAAGGGGAAGAUGUGAUGAUUUCUAUCAUUGAACAGGCUUAAUUCCAGAAAGGUGAACUUGAACUGCCUCGAGGUAAUUUCAGUGAUUUGUAAAAGCAAAGGGGAGGUCCAUAGCAGAAUAAAGAAGGUUAUUGUGACAGAUGAAACAUAAUUCACAAUGAGUACUCUUUUCAUCCAGCCUUAAGCAGCAGAGGAUUACUUUCAAGCUGAAUUUUAUGGCAGAACAUAUGAACUGAGUUGUUUUUUCUUUGUUUUUUUUUUUAACAUGCAAGGAUAGAGCAAAGACAGAAAAACUCUCUUCAAUUGCGUGGUGUUUAUUUUGUGUGUAUCUCUUUGGGGCUCUUAAUUUGUUUCAUCUAAAACAGAAGAUAUGCUGGCCAGCAGAGUCUGAUGCAACCGAGGGAGUAGAUUGGGAGGGUAGGAAAUAUGAAAUUUAAAGCAAUAAAAGUUGUGGUUUUCCUGUGUAUAUAAUGAAUGAUACAUGAGGAGUUAAAUAUAUUUCUACAUUUUUGGCAUACAUAUGAAAUAAAAAUGAUACUUUUUUCAACAAAUGCAUGAGCUGCAAAACCACUGCACAUGAUUAUUUGGGCUGUGCCCUGCAAAAUGGAGGCCAACCUGGGAGCAUUGGAAAAGAUCUAAAAGGUGUUGGCAGAUACAUACCUCCAUAGAUUCAGGUGCUAUGGCUUGGAUGUGGUUUGACUGGAUCCUUCGGUGGUCAAGAUGAAUAAAUGAAGGCUUAAAAAGAUUAAGUACCUUCUUCAAGGUCAUAAAGCGAAUCAGUUUUGGUUGAUCUACUUUGAAACACCAGACUCUGAAGCCCUAUCGUAUAUUAACAUCUGUGCUUACAUAUGGUAACUAUACUCAUGGGGCAGGGCUAGUGUUUACAAGGACUUUCACUGAUUCCUAAAAACCUUCCUCCAAAUAUCAAGGGUUUUAAUGCUAUAUACAAUGAAAAUGAUUAAAAUCUAAAAUAUUUCUGCUGGAGUACACAAUUAAGCCUUUGAUUUCAGAUUAAGUAAAUUUUUAUAAUUCUGUGAAACACAAGACGUGUAGCAAAAAGAAACACUAUCAUUAUCUAAAGUAUACCUCAUUUUCUAAACA
ensembl:lncRNA